AACCAUAGAAACCUGCGGAGUACCUGCGGAAGGAUCAUUACAGAGUUCAUGCCCUCACGGGUAGAUCUUCCACCCUUGAAUACUAUACCUUUGUUGCUUUGGCGGGCCGCUUUGGCUACUGGCUCUGGCUAGUAAGUGCCCGCCAAAGAACCCCAAAACUCUGAAUAUUAGUGUCGUCUGAGUACUAUAUAAUAGUUAAAACUUUUAGCAAUGGAUCU
rnacentral:misc_RNA from 1 species